UUACGGCCAAAGUACGUUGAAACAUUGGUUCCCGUACGAUCACCGAAGUUAAGCAACGUCGAGCCUCGUUAGUACCGUGAUGGGUGACCGUUUGGGAAAAUCAGCUACUGCAAG